rnacentral:rRNA from 1 species
AACGAACGCUGGCGGCAGGCCUAACACAUGCAAGUCGAGCGAACCCUUCGGGGUUAGCGGCGGACGGGUUAGUAACGCGUGGGAAUAUACCCUUUGGUACGGAAUAGCCUCGGGAAACUGAGAGUAAUACCGUAUGUGCCCUUCGGGGGAAAGAUUAUCGCCAAAGGAUUAGCCCGCGUUGGAUUAGAUAGUUGGUGGGGUAAUGGCCUACCAAGUCUACGAUCCAUAGCUGGUUUGAGAGGAUGAUCAGCAACACUGGGACGUGAGACACGGCCCAGACUCCUACGGGAGGCAGCAGUGGGGAAUCUUAGACAAUGGGCGCAAGCCUGAUCUAGCCAUGCCGCGUGGACGAUGAAGGCCUUAGGGUUGUAAAGUCCUUUCAGAUGGGAAGAUAAUGACGGUACCAUCAGAAGAA